CACUGUGACGGUAUNUUACCAGAAAGGGACGGCUAACUACGUGCCAGCAGCCGCGGUAAUACGUAGGUCCCGAGCGUUGUCCGGAUUUAUUGGGCGUAAAGCGAGCGCAGGCGGUUAGAUAAGUCUGAAGUUAAAGGCUGUGGCUUAACCAUAGUACGCUUUGGAAACUGUUUAACUUGAGUGCAAGAGGGGAGAGUGGAAUUCCAUGUGUAGCGGUGAAAUGCGUAGAUAUAUGGAGGAACACCGGUGGCGAAAGCGGCUCUCUGGCUUGUAACUGACGCUGAGGCUCGAAAGCGUGGNGAGCAAACAGGAUUAGAUACCCUGGUAGUCCACGCCGUAAACGAUGAGUGCUAGGUGUUAGACCCUUUCCGGGGUUUAGUGCCGCAGCUAACGCAUUAAGCACUCCGCCUGGGGAGUACGACCGCAAGGUUGAAACUCAAAGGAAUUGACGGGGGCCCGCACAAGCGGUGGAGCAUGUGGUUUAAUUCGAAGCAACGCGAAGAACCUUACCAGGUCUUGACAUCCCUCUGACCGCUCUAGAGAUAGAGUUUUCCUUCGGGACAGAGGUGACAGGUGGUGCAUGGUUGUCGUCAGCUCGUGUCGUGAGAUGUUGGGUUAAGUCCCGCAACGAGCGCAACCCUUAUUGUUAGUUGCCAUCAUUCAGUUGGGCACUCUAGCGAGACUGCCGGUAAUAAACCGGAGGAAGGUGGGGAUGACGUCAAAUCAUCAUGCCCCUUAUGACCUGGGCUACACACGUGCUACAAUGGCUGGUACAACGAGUCGCAAGUCGGUGACGGCAAGCUAAUCUCUUAAAGCCAGUCUCAGUUCGGAUUGUAGGCUGCAACUCGCCUACAUGAAGUCGGAAUCGCUAGUAAUCGCGGAUCAGCACGCCGCGGUGAAUACGUUCCCGGGCCUUGUACACACCGCCCGUCACACCACGAGAGUUUGUAACACCCGAAGUC
rnacentral:rRNA from 1 species